AUAAAGUAUGAUGAGUUCUUUACCGCCCCAGGCUGAUACAACUAUGAAUGAUUGGUUGAUCUGAUAUUGU